ACAACUUGUUUUGAAAAAAGAUCAUGCUUUCAUUGAUACAGUGGGAUUGGGCUGUGUGGAAACUCAUGCUAAGGUUAAGCAGUCAUAUCUUGUUGCACCACAUGACUUGCAUUUUCAAAUAGUUCACCAUCUUUUGAAGGAGCAUAUCUGGCAGUCACCUGAUUAUAAGGUUAUUGUUUUCUGUACAACAGGAAUGGUAACAUCCCUCCUCUACCUUCUUCUCCGUGAAAUGAAAAUGAAUGUUAGGGAGAUACAUU